AAAUAAUAUAAUUUAAUUUAUUUAGUGUUAAUUAAUUUAUAAUAAAUUAAUUUUAAAUUAAAAUUUAUUAGGUGAAAUUUAUAAAUUUUAUAUAAAAAUUUAUUAUUUUUAAUGAAGUUAAGAAAUUUAAUUGAUAAACUAGGAUUAGAUACCCUAUUAUUUUAAACGUAUUUUUUAUGCUAAAUUAGUAUUAGUUAUGUCCUUGAAAAUUAAAAAUUUUGGCGGUAUUUUAGUCUAUUCAGAGGAACUUGUCCUAUAAUUGAUAAUCCACGAUUUUAUUUACUUUUUUUAUUAGUUUGUAUAUCGUCGUAAUUUGAAUAUUUUAUAAGAAUAAUAAUGUUCAAGAUUUUAUAUAAGAAAGUAAAUCAGAUCAAGGUGCAGUUUAUAAAAAAGAAGAGAUGAGUUACAAUUAAAUAAUUAUUAGGAUUAUUAUUUAUAAAAUAAUAUGAAUUUGGAUUUGAGGGUAAAUUUAAUAAAUUAAUUAAAUUGAUUUUAGCUCUAAAAU
rnacentral:rRNA from 1 species